GGGUGACUGCGUACCUUUUGUAUAAUGGGUCAGCGACUUAUAUUCUGUAGCAAGGUUAACCGAAUAGGGGAGCCGCAGGGAAACCGAGUCUUAACUGGGCGUUAAGUUGCAGGGUAUAGACCCGAAACCCGGUGAUCUAGCCAUGGGCAGGUUGAAGGUUGGGUAACACUAACUGGAGGACCGAACCGACUAAUGUUGAAAAAUUAGCGGAUGACUUGUGGCUGGGGGUGAAAGGCCAAUCAAACCGGGAGAUAGCUGGUUCUCCCCGAAAGCUAUUUAGGUAGCGCCUCGUGAACUCAUCUUCGGGGGUAGAGCACUGUUUCGGCUAGGGGGUCAUCCCGACUUACCAACCCGAUGCAAACUACGAAUACCGAAGAAUGUUAUCACGGGAGACACACGGCGGGUGCUAACGUCCGUCGUGAAGAGGGAAACAACCCAGACCGCCAGCUAAGGUCCCAAAGUCAUGGUUAAGUGGGAAACGAUGUGGGAAGGCCCAGACAGCCAGGAUGUUGGCUUAGAAGCAGCCAUCAUUUAAAGAAAGCGUAAUAGCUCACUGGUCGAGUCGGCCUGCGCGGAAGAUGUAACGGGGCUAAACCAUGCACCGAAGCUGCGGCAGCGAC
rnacentral:rRNA from 1 species